CUGCUCCUUUCUCUGUCCUUGUGCCUCUUUUUGGGGACAAAAACGGUGUUUGCUGCCUUUCCCUCACUCCUGGGGUGAGGCUUGGCCUCAUCCUGCUGUGGGUGAGGAUGAUGAAGGCUGAGGAUGAUGAAGGGCACUCAGGGGGUCCCUUUAGUCCCUUGGUCUCAUCCUGGUGUGGGUGAGGAUGAUGAAGGGUGAGGAUGAUGAAGAGCACCCAAAAGGGAUUGCUUUGCCUAUCCUGGUGUGAGGACGAUGAGGGGUGAGGAUGAUGAAGGGCGAGGAUGAUGAAGGGCGAGGAUGAUGAAGGCUGAGGAUGAUGAAGGGUGAGGAUGAUGAAGGUGAGGAUGAUGACAGCGAGGAUGAUGAAGGUGAUGAUGACGAAGGUGAGGAUGAUGAAGGGUGAGGAUGAUGCAGGGUGACGAUGAUGAAGGUGAGGAUGAUGCAGGGUGAGGAUGAUGAAGGUGAGGAUGAUGAAGGGUGAGGAUGAUGAAGAUGAGGAUGAUGAAGGUGAGGAUGAUGAAGGGUGACGAUGAUGAAGGUGAGGAUGACGAAGGUGAGGAUGAUGAAGGGUGACGAUGAUGAAGGUGAGGAUGAUGAAGGUGAGGAUGAUGCAGGGUGAGGAUGAUGCAGGCUGAGGAUGAUGCAGGCUGAGGAUGAUGAAGGCGAGGAUGAUGACGGUGAGGAUGAUGAAGGGUGACAAUGACGGGUGAGGAUGAUGACGGGUGAGGAUGACGAAGGUGAGGAUGAUGAAGGUGAGGAUGAUGAAGGCGAGGAUGAUGAAGGCGAGGAUGAUGAAGGGCGAGGAUGAUGCAGGGUGAGGAUGAUGAUGGUGAGGAUGAUGACGGUGAGGAUGAUGAAGGGUGAGGAUGAUGAAGGCUGAGGAUGAUGAAGGCGAGGAUGACGAAGGGUGACAAUGAUGAAGGUGAGGAUGAUGACGGUGAGGAUGAUGAAGGUGAGGAUGACGAAGGCGAGGAUGAUGAAGGUGAGGAUGAUGACAGCGAGGAUGAUGAAGACGAAGGUGAGGAUGAUGAAGGUGAGGAUGAUGAAGGUGAGGAUGAUGAAGGUGAUGAUGAUGAAGGCGAGGAUGAUGAAGGUGAGGAUGAUGACGGUGAGGAUGAUGAAGGUGAGGACGAUGAAGGGUUAGGACGAUGAAUGGUGACGAUGAUGAAGGCUGAGGAUGAUGAAGGUGAGGAUGAUGAAGGCGAGGAUGAUGCAGACGAGGAUGAUGAAGGUGAGGAUGAUGAAGGGUGACAAUGAUGACGGGUGAUGAUGAUGAAGGGUGAGGAUGAUGAAGGUGAGGAUGACGAAGGUGAGGAUGAUGAAGGUGAGGAUGAUGAAGGGUGAGGAUGAUGAAGGGCACUCAGAGGGUUCCUUUGCCUAUCCUGGUGUGGGUGAGGAGGAUGAAGGGUGAGGAUGAUGCAGGCUGAGGAUGAUGCAGGGUGAGGAUGACGAAGGUGAGGAUGAUGAAGGUGAGGAUGAUGAAGGCGAGGAUGAUGAAGGCUGAGGAUGAUGAAGGGUGACAAUGAUGAAGGUGAGGAUGAUGAAGGUGAGGAUGAUGAAGGCGAGGAUGACGAAGGUGAGGAUGAUGACGGGUGAUGAUGAUGAAGGUGAGGAUGAUGAAGGUGAGGACGAUGAAGGUGAGGAUGAUGAAGGGCGCUCAAAGGGGUCCUUUGAUCUCAUCCUGGUGUGGGUGAGGAUGAUGAAGGGCGGGGAUGAUGAAGGGUGACGAUGAUGAAGGGUGACAAUGAUGAAGGUGAGGACGAUGAAGGUGAGGAUGAUGCAGGGUGAGGAUGAUGAAGGUGAGGAUUAUGAAGGGUGACAAUGACGAAGGUGAGGAUGAUGAAGGUGAGGAUGACGAAGGCACCCUGUGGGCAGGACGAGGAGGAGAACGGCGCGGGCAGCAAAGGGGAGCAGGCCAAGAACCCCGAGCUGCACGAGGACAACGUGACGGAGCAGACGCAUCACAUCAUCAUCCCCAGCUACGCCGCCUGGUUCGACUACAACAGGUACGGCGCCUUCCU
ensembl:lncRNA